AUAAAACUUGAUUUACACAAACAAGUUGUUUGCAAUCCCUGGAUCAGAAGGAACGUUUACUACCCUGUAUCAUGUCUCUGUAGGCUCUCCCUUAUGGAUAGGAGUUCCCAAUUUCUGGUGUGUGUGUUAUACAGUAAUUAGGUAUAGGAUCAAACCCUGUUUAACUGUUUAUCUGUUGGAUUUCAGGAGGCUGGUGGCAUGUUGUCCUCAAUCUCGACACUACUAUCGCCAUCACCCAAAAUUUUGCCAGCAGCACCAACUUCCCUGUGGUAUGGCACAAGACGGUAAGAGGGAGACCAAAGUUAUCAAGGAAAUGGUAUAGAUACAGCACGGGCAGCGGCAGUGCAAGCCACCCACAGCCACCCCGUGCCACUGUGUCCCAACCCUGACCUGGAGGGACCAGCUCUCGGGGAUCUUGAAGCAAGAGCACCCCGAGUUGGCAGUCCUGGCAGACUCGGUUGACCUUCAGGAGUCCACAGGGAUAGCUUCCGACAGCUCCAGCGACUCUUCCAGCUCCUCCAGCUCCAGUUCGUCAGACUCCGACUCAGAGUGCGAGUCUGGAUCCGAGGGCGAUGGGACAGUGCACCGCAGGAAGAAGAGGAGGACGUGCAGCAUGGUGGGAAACGGGGACACCACCUCCCAGGACGACUGUGUCAGCAAAGAGCGCAGCUCCUCCAGGAUUAGGGACACUUGUGGAGGCCGGGCUCACCCCUGAGCAGAUAAAGAGACUCUCCCUGAGGUGCUUUCAGCGUAAGCUUUUGGCAGCCACCCAACUCAGUUCUCGCGUCUUCUGCUCCUACCUUCUCCUCUGUCUUCUUUGAAUUUGGAUAUUCCUUCCCUGGUCCAAGCUCC
rnacentral:lncRNA from 1 species